UAGCUACAGGCUUAACACAUGCAAGUCGAGGGGCAGCAUGGUCUUAGCUUGCUAAGGCCGAUGGCGACCGGCGCACGGGUGAGUAACGCGUAUCCAACCUGCCUUACACUCUUGGACAGCCUUCUGAAAGGGAGAUUAAUACAAGAUGUUAUCAUGAGUAAGCAUUUUCGCAUGAUUAAAGGUUUACCGGUGUAAGAUGGGGAUGCGUUCCAUUAGAUAGUAGGCGGGGUAACGGCCCACCUAGUCUUCGAUGGAUAGGGGUUCUGAGAGGAAGGUCCCCCACAUUGGAACUGAGACACGGUCCAAACUCCUACGGGAGGCAGCAGUGAGGAAUAUUGGUCAAUGGACGAGAGUCUGAACCAGCCAAGUAGCGUGAAGGAUGAAGGUUCUAUGGAUUGUAAACUUCUUUUAUACGGGAAUAAACGAAUCCACGUGUGGAUUUUUGCAUGUACCGUAUGAAUAAGGAUCGGCUAACUCCGUGCCAGCAGCCGCGGUAAUACGGAGGAUCCGAGCGUUAUCCGGAUUUAUUGGGUUUAAAGGGAGCGUAGAUGGGUUGUUAAGUCAGUUGUGAAAGUUUGCGGCUCAACCGUAAAAUUGCAAUUGAUACUGGCAGUCUUGAGUACAGUUGAGGUAGGCGGAAUUCGUGGUGUAGCGGUGAAAUGCUUAGAUAUCACGAAGAACUCCGAUUGCGAAGGCAGCUUACUAACCUGUAACUGACAUUGAUGCUCGAAAGUGUGGGUAUCAAACAGGAUUAGAUACCCUGGUAGUCCACACGGUAAACGAUGAAUACUCGCUGUAGGCGAUAUACAGUCUGCGGCCAAGCGAAAGCAUUAAGUAUUCCACCUGGGGAGUACGCCGGCAACGGUGAAACUCAAAGGAAUUGACGGGGGCCCGCACAAGCGGAGGAACAUGUGGUUUAAUUCGAUGAUACGCGAGGAACCUUACCCGGGCUUAAAUUGCAACCGAAUAUGGCGGAAACGCUAUAGCUAGCAAUAGCGGUUGUGAAGGUGCUGCAUGGUUGUCGUCAGCUCGUGCCGUGAGGUGUCGGCUUAAGUGCCAUAACGAGCGCAACCCUUGCCGAUAGUUACUAACAGGUCAUGCUGAGGACUCUGUCGGGACUGCCAUCGUAAGAUGUGAGGAAGGUGGGGAUGACGUCAAAUCAGCACGGCCCUUACGUCCGGGGCUACACACGUGUUACAAUGGGGGGUACAGAGGGCUGCUACCACGCAAGUGGAUGCCAAUCCCAAAAACCUCUCUCAGUUCGGAUUGAAGUCUGCAACCCGACUUCAUGAAGCUGGAUUCGCUAGUAAUCGCGCAUCAGCCACGGCGCGGUGAAUACGUUCCCGGGCCUUGUACACACCGCCCGUCAAGCCAUGGGAGCCGGGGGUACCUGAAGUGCGUAACCGCAAGGAGCGCCCUAGGGUAAAACUGGUGACUGGGGCUAAGUCAUAACA
rnacentral:rRNA from 1 species